GCGUACUGCCUAUAUAUCUGAAAGGUGACAGAUCCUUUCUAAUCUUGGAAGCUAAGCUGGGUCAACUCUGGUUAGUGCUUGGAUGGGAGACUGCCAGCGAAUACCAGGUGCUGCCGGCU
rnacentral:rRNA from 11 species